rnacentral:rRNA from 1 species
AUUGAACGCUGGCGGCAGGCCUAACACAUGCAAGUCGAGCGGCAGCGGGAAAGUAGCUUGCUACUUUUGCCGGCGAGCGGCGGACGGGUGAGUAAUGCCUGGGAAAUUGCCCAGUCGAGGGGGAUAACAGUUGGAAACGACUGCUAAUACCGCAUACGCCCUACGGGGGAAAGCAGGGGACCUUCGGGCCACAUGCUAUCGGAUGCGCCGACGUGGGAUUAGCUAGUUGGUGAGGUAAUGGCUCACCAAGGCGACGAUCCCUAGCUGGUUUGAGAGGAUGAUCAGCCACACUGGAACUGAGACACGGUCCAGACUCCUACGGGAGGCAGCAGUGGGGAAUAUUGGACAAUGGGCGCAAGCCUGAUCCAGCCAUGCCGCGUGUGUGAAGAAGGCCUUCGGGUUGUAAAGCCCUUUAGGUUAGGAAGAAGGGUAACAGGUUAAGAGCUAGUUAUUUUGACGGUACUAACAGAAUAAGCACCGGCAAACUCUGUGCCAGCCGCCGCCGUAAUAC